ACCAGUUCCCUCAUCUCAAUUAACGUGUGUUUUGCAGUGCUCAUGGGCCCAAGUCACAGGGUGUAGAAAGGUGCCACCACUGCUAGCCAGAAAAUUUGGGCCAUAUCUGUCUUUGGUAGAAUUUGGGUGCCUAGGGCCAUGUUCAGUCACCUCAUUUGCACCCAUCUCCUUUCCCAGUGACAUCUGUCAACAACUCCCUGCUCUGUGCAUUGCUUACAUCUGCUGAAUCACUCUUCUUCACUUCUCACUGAGUAGGUACAGCAAUUGUAAUGAAUUUAGGCCACCUGUGAAAACAACCUCGAGGUCCAAAGUGAUGACCCAGUCUAGUAUUUGGAACUGUGUGAUAUUGGAGGUACCGAAAAAUCUAUUCAGCUUCUUGUGCUCAGAGUUCCUGAGGUGCUCCAGACUUUUCUCCUACAUGUGCUCAGGAGCAGCCAGGUUUGCUCUAAUAGGCAUAUAAAUUGUUGCAGCUCAGAGGCAGACAAUGAGGCUCUGACAAACUACCUCAGAGAGGCCAGGUUUAUUAGAUGUGCUCAGACAAUGCCUAGUACUGACAGCAUCAAAACAACACUCACUCUUCUGACUCCUGCAUACAUCAGGACAUUUAAAGACCAGACUCCAGUGCCUGUCCAGGCAAAUACCUUUGCCUACUGUUUCCCAGAAGUUAGCCAGAUGUCCACCCAGUGUCUUUCAGAAAUGAAUCAUAUCUAUAAAUGUUCAGUAAACUCACUAUAUUGGCAAUGAAGAGCAAUAUGCUCCUCUGUUGAGCACCCAAAUUGUCCAGUGCCUGUGUGGGGAAUCCUAGGUGCCCAUGUUAGGAUGGAUCAGGUACCUGCAAACUUUAUUAUACUCAAACUUUAUGUCUACAGCAAAGCAGUUGGAACAUGGAUUUUAUCCCGUAUUCAAAUGGUAACAUCUUGUUCAAGUGCUGAAAGUUCUGCAUUCAGUCUUUGAUACAGUCAAUACACAGCUAGGGACAUCUGUGCACAAGCAGGAACAAAAUGGGAUCUGUGAAUCCAUUCAGCCACCAUGCAGGAGUGAAAGAUUAUUCGAACACCAGGGCUUGGAUCCCGACGAUGAGACAGGAACCAGAGUGAAAUCCAGCACGUUCCUCUAGAGGUACAUCAAGAGCAGCAAGAGUACAAGGAGAGCAACACAGUAAACAAAACAAAAAACACUUUAUUUGUACCUAAUAAAGUAAACAGUCAUCAGUGUGAAUGUGUACGGAACCCAGAUCUGGAAGGCCCCAGUGACUGUCUGAUGGAUAUGGCUGCUUGUCUGAGGGCACAUUCCCUGAAGUCAUGUGUGAAGUCGUGGAAACCAGCACGCUUUAGAGGUGUGACCAGGCUUGUACGCAUCCUUGUUCCCUCAUAUGCAUCCAAAUCCAGCACCGAAUAAAUCCCUCAGAACGGACUGAUUCAGUUUAAACCACUGGUUCUCUACAGUAGGCAUAACAAAAACUGGUGUAUGGAGAAGUUACAGUCUGGAGUGGGAUCUGAGUUACACCAUCCAUCUUCAGACAGAUCCACAAGCCGUCCUACGUAGCCCUAUCCAUGGCCCUGAGGGUUCUGGAGAUGGCAUAGCCUCACAGGGUGUGAGACAGCUGGAAGGUGGGAACGAUUUGGAGCAGCUGGUAGCUCUCCAUCGCUGCCUAGACCAUGAAGAAACAACCUCCAGGUACCAUCAUGGUGUGCUGCAGCUAUCAGUCUUGCUCUCCUUACAGUGAGGGCAGUUGGCCAGACUCAUCCCUGCUGUGUGCCAAUUCCCUUUUCUGAGGAAAGAACGUGACGAUACAUGUUUCUUCCCUCCCCUGGCAGUCGCUGUUAUAAAUGUCUACAUUUCGCAAUGAACUCUGAAUUAUCUUCUAAAAUUAUACAUGGCAUCUCCCAUCUGGCACUGAUGUCAGCAUGGCAUAUGUUUACCAUGGGAACCUGAAGAUAACUUCAAACUUCUACAAGAGGAAAAUCAGCUUAUUUCACUUUUAAGGUCAAACCUGCAGCAGUGCGAGUUCUGCAGGUGGCAGCCAGAUGAAACAGCUGCUGAUCUGUCUCCUCUAGGAUUGGAUGCAGCUCCUCAAGCUUCACUGGGACCUGGUCACCUAGGGCAAUCCAAAGAGGAUCCAAAUCUCCCAAGGCUUUCUUUGUAAUCCUUCACUUAGGCCACCUACUGCCUGAAACUCCCUGGGGAGAAAGGAGGCAAGCCCAGACCUUCCUGUGUCUCUUCCAUCUGUCAUUCUUCCUGAACCAGCUGGGAAAUUUGCUAAAAAACUCAAAUAUAUGUUAGUGGUCUGCAAAUUUUUUACCCCAGUUGUCACAAGCCUAAAGCAGGCUGCAAAGAGGACUUUGGUAGUCUUCACAUAGAAACAGCAUCCUUUGAAAUAAAACCAUACAAAACCUCGAGGUAGUAAUUCUGGUAUUUUACAGACAUUAAUUUUUUUAUGGCAACUAGCUAGCAAUAGAAAGUCCUUACAGAGAGUGAUGGUUCUUGGAACAAACUUGUCCCUCGAGUAUUUCGUGAUUGUGUUUGACUUCUGGCACAUUCAAAAGACUUAAAUGAAUGAGGACAAAGCUGUUUUGGAAUUUGCUUUUAACCUAUUUCCUUGAAACAAUAAAUUUGUUCAAGGGCAA